rnacentral:rRNA from 1 species
AGGCCUAACACAUGCAAGUCGAACGGUAGCACAGAGAGCUUGCUCUCGGGUGACGAGUGGCGGACGGGUGAGUAAUGUCUGGGAAACUGCCCGAUGGAGGGGGAUAACUACUGGAAACGGUAGCUAAUACCGCAUAAUGUCGCAAGACCAAAGAGGGGGACCUUCGGGCCUCUUGCCAUCGGAUGUGCCCAGAUGGGAUUAGCUAGUAGGUGGGGUAACGGCUCACCUAGGCGACGAUCCCUAGCUGGUCUGAGAGGAUGACCAGCCACACUGGAACUGAGACACGGUC